rnacentral:piRNA from 1 species
UCCACAACUCCUAACUACAUCAUUGCCUA